GAACGGUGGGAGGGGGAAGAGUCUGAGGCCAGGAGGGGGACUGCGCGGGAUGAGGGAAAGGCAGCUACAAGCAACCUGGAAUUUCUAUCUUUAGAACGAACCAAAGGAGAAAGGCGCGGGACCUGGCAAAGAAGCGGCGACCCAUUUUCUACUUGAAAGGAGGGUUUUGGUUUUUUGGUUCUUUACGUUUUUUUCCAUUUUAGUUUAGUCUUUGGUUUUUUUAGAGAAGCAGGUCAGCAGGGAUUUUUUUCUCCACCACGAUGUGACAUUCAUCUGAGAUGGUGAUGAAGUAAAGGGAGGAAAGAGAUCUUGAGAGAUGAUUCUUAUGAGACCCUCGUAGCUAAGGACUUCUGACCUCAAACUCUGUCCUUGUUCUUCAUUGUGUCUCUCCUAAAUUACACAAAUGAACCUUCUGUGAAGCCACUUUCUCCUAGAUUAAACACAAACCGUCCAAUGUCCAGUUAGUAUCCAGAGACUCUAGAAUGGUCUAGAACUGCCCAGAUGUAUCCCGUGUUCUUGUUCUGAAGUGGCAUCAGUCACCAGGCCACGGUCCACGUGGGGCUAGUGGGAGGGAAUGAAGUCCACGCUGGCCCUGCUUAGGGCUCAGCAGCCACCUGCCUUGGACACCUAGCGCUGUGGGGUGGUGGCCCAGCGGGGGCUGCCCACUUCUUUCCCCAGAGUCAGCAUUUCUCUACCAGCCGCCCUAAGUGUUGUCUUCUGUCUUGCCCUACUCUAGGCAUUCAGUCCUGACCCUUGGACGACUUUUUCCUUGAAUGCCCUUUAAAUAUCCUAAACAAAUAAUGACAAAUAUUCGCUGUCAUGCAAUAUUUGGUUA